CUCAUCAUCAAGCUUCAAGUGAGACCUUGUAACUGGAGAUUCCUUCAGAACGAUUGCCUACAGUUACCGUGUAGGGCACUGCAAGGUUGGGUGACCAGGGUCAUCUGGGACUGCCUCCUGGAGGAAUUCAGGUGUGUGAAGGCUACCUGUGUCCUGCGUAACUUCAUGAGGAUGGACACGAGGACCAGGAGGGGAUCUGCAGCUCGCCGCCGUGUGCCAGAGGAGGAGUCUGCUGCUCUGCAGGAAGUUUCAAGGAUGGGGUCCAACAACGCAGCAAGAGAGGCAAUCCGUGUGCAGGAGAUCUUCACCUCCUACUUCUUCAAAGAGGG
rnacentral:lncRNA from 1 species